rnacentral:rRNA from 1 species
UACGGAGGGUGCAAGCGUUAUCCGGAAUUAUUGGGCGUAAAGGGUGUGUAGGUGGUUUUGUUAGUCUUCUGUUAAAGCUCCCGGCUUAACCGGGAAAGUGCAGAGGAAACGGCAAGACUAGAGGAUGUGAGAGGUUUGCGGAACUCAAGGUGUAGGGGUGAAAUCCGUUGAUAUCUUGGGGAACACCAAAAGCGAAGGCAGCAAACUGGCGCAUUCCUGACACUGAAACACGAAAGCGUGGGUAGCGAAUGGG